rnacentral:lncRNA from 11 species
UUAAAAGGUAUGAUUUCAGGAGCAAAUUCUUGCAGGAGCAUUCUGGAAAACAGGCUGCAUGACUAAGCGGGAGAAGGUUCAUGGGGGUAACAUCACCAACCCUAGUGACACCAAUGCUAGGAGAAGAUGUGAAGCAGACAGAAGCACCAUAAAAGAUCCAGAUGAUGACUGUCAUGAUCAAUUACUCAUGCCAUCCAGCUAACAGCCCUGAGGUAGAACACAUGGCCUUUGGCAAAAAGGGAGGACAGGAUCCUGCAAGGACAAAUGAACCGGCCAGGGAAAGGCGCCAUGGCCACUGAGUGAUUUCUGAUGUUGUAAUUUAGAACCUAUAUACAUGGGCAAAAUGGUUAGUUCUUGUUUUUCAAACAAUAAAGAUGCACGGUAAC